GAUGAACGCUGACAGAAUGCUUAACACAUGCAAGUCGAUGGGGAAGUGGUGCUUGCACCAUGGUAACCAUGGCGGACGGGUGAGUAACGCGUAAGGAACUUGCCUGCGGGACUGGGAUAACAGCAGGAAACUGCUGAUAAUACCGGAUAAGGUCAUUAAGCUGCAUAGCUUAGUGAUGAAAGGAGACGCCUGCGGAGAGCCUUGCGUCCUAUUAGCUAGUUGGAGGGGUAACGGCCCACCAAGGCGAAGAUAGGUAGCCGGCCUGAGAGGGUGGACGGCCACAAGGGGACUGAGAGACGGCCCUUACUCCUACGGGAGGCAGCAGUGGGGAAUAUUGGACAAUGGGGGCAACCCUGAUCCAGCAAUUCUGUGUGCACGAAGACGGUUUUCGGAUUGUAAAGUGCUUUCAGCAGGGAAGAAGGAAGUGACGGUACCUGCAGAAGAAGCGACGGCUAAAUACGU
rnacentral:rRNA from 1 species